CGGAGCCCGUCGGGCGCCUAUGGAACUCGACCCGCAGGCCAAAGGGGCUCCGUUGCAAGGAAGAAGUGCGGGGUCCCGCCGCCUCCUAGACCGAGAUCGCGGAGCCAGCUGGUCCACCAGAAGUCUGUGUUCUGCCUGUCCCUGCAGCACGGAGGGCUGGGCUUUAUACCUGUGCCAAGGACACCAACGGCAGCAUCAGCAAGUCCGUGUUGUCUCCCAAAUAAGUG
rnacentral:lncRNA from 1 species